AAAUGUGCCAACACGUCUGUUCUCGUGUGUACAUGUAACCCAGGUUAUUUUCCAAAGUUUGAGAUUUCUAAUCAUUUGGCAGUCAUUGAACGCACCACAGUGCGGCUAGUCCAGCUCCAGGAUUUCCGUGGAUCUGAGGAGGCACGUGCUGUUCUCGUGCCCUCUGCGAGCUGGAAACUUGGAUACAUUUAACACGAGUCGCUGUCAAUAAGUUUACGAAACAUUUGCAGUUGAAGCUGAUGUUUAAUGUGUUGUUAGAGAGAGAGAGGUCAUGUAGCACUACGAAUGAUCUCCUGUAUCCUGUUCCUGCUGGAUGAACCAUCCUCAUCCGAUGACUCCGCUGAACCAUCCUGAGAUGGUUGUUACUACAGGUGUAGAUGCUGUUACUGGAUACUACACAGUUCCAAGGAACAAAUUGAAGGCCCCAACAACAAAUUGAAGGCCCCAACAACAAAUUGAAGGCCCCAACAACAAAUUGAAGGCCCCAACAAAGUGCUGAGCUCACGUGUUCAUUUGGCCAAAGGACGUCAAAAAGUUUUGGGGGCUGGGACACUAAAAGAAAAGGUUUAUUGUCAUAUAAUUGUGUUUUAAUAAAUGUUUGUGUAAUGUUAAGUCAGUGUGGUGUCAUUGUGUGCUGGCAGAUCUUCCUGUUACCUAUAGGUGGAGCUAGGUGCUACCAAUCUUGUUUGAAGACACCAGCCUGCUGACAGGAUUAGUUGUAACCGCUUUCUAGAGAAGCUCUGAUAAUUUUUUUUAUUAUUAUUACUUUUCAUUGUUGUUCUUUUGGGCCUAAAACAUGGUGGUAUAAUUUAUCAUACAGAUUUAUCAUACAGAUCUAGAUUUUGUGUCGUAUAGUGUGUAGUGUAUGUUUACUUCAAGGACGCAAAGCGACAAAACAAAGCAGCACUUGACGAACAACAACUUGGUGGGAAAUGGCGAAACUGGCG